AACUGCAAAAGGUAGAAAACUGAUGAAUUAAUGUCUUUUCUCUGGAAGCAACUUAAGUCUUAAUGUUUUGUGUCUUCUACAAUGCCUUAGAGUAGGCUGUCAAAUAAGGAUUCCCCAACCUUUACUUCAUUUUCCAAUGUUCUUAGCAAUCCUAUCUAGUAAAUUCUCAUUCUUUAUGGUUUAUACCAUUCCUCAGUGUUUUCUAUAUUGGAUGUGGGGUGAAAAGUUGAACAUUCUGGCAAAAGCAUUAGCUUAGUUCAUGACGUGCUCUGAGCAGACUCAAUGAUUGGUGGAAAAGUACAUUUGAGUGCAUCUGACUCCCAUGGAGAAAUGCCAUACAGUGGCAGGUAGAGAAUCUGACCUUUGGGAGUAAUGCCAAUCUAGUGUCAAUAGCCAGGACCUGUCUAAACAUCAUGGAAAAUCUAACUCUUUGACAAACAAACCAGGAGUCAUCCAUAGCUUCCUGAAUUACAUCCAGGAAGGAGAGAUUGAAUACUCCACACACCAUUUUCCGAGAUGUUCCAGAGGAAAUCAGCAAUUUUAGCCAAGUUUCCAGGCAACCUCAGAGGUUUAUCACUUCAUAGAGCCAGGAGCAGGGAUUCGGAUGGAUAGAUUUUAUAGAUCCUUUCUUUCAGAAGAAAACAG
rnacentral:lncRNA from 1 species